ACGUACGAGGUGCCAGGAUACUCGGGGCAAUAUGGCUGCUUGAAGGCAGACAGCCUAAACCCAAAGCCUAUCUUCCUCUUCUCCCAACGGCAGGAAGUUGCAGGUAACAUGGCAACCGUCACAGCUACUUCACACCAGCAGCGAGGGAGAUCAGCCAGCUGUAGCCCUUGGCUGUGGUGUUCAUCACAGCAGCAGAAAGCACACCAGGAAAUUCAAGAACACCGAGUUUGCAGCCCGGCACUGUGCGUUAUACCAAUCCUUCCGUACACGCCUGAUAUACAGGGUGUCUGAGAACUGUUAUGUCAAAGGAAAAUGGAGAGUGGCUGAGCACUGCCUUGAGCCCUGGGGAGUUUGGAGUGGUUGGAGGCAGUGCUGCCUUGGCAGAAGAAGAUUUAUUGAACAGCUUUCAGCAUUCUCCAGUGAAAUACUGCUAUGUUUAAAAAAAUGAAUUUAUACAUAA